rnacentral:rRNA from 1 species
GGAGUUUGGACCGUGUCUCAGUUCCAAUGUGGGGGACCUUCCUCUCAGAACCCCUACCGAUCGAUGGCUUGGUGGGCCGUUACCCCGCCAACUACCUAAUCGGACGCAUCCCCAUCCAUGGCCGGUAAACCUUUAGUCCUCAUUAGAUGUCUGCAAAGGACGCCAUAGGGCAUUAAUCCGCUUUUCAGCGGGCUAUUCCCUGGCCGUGGGCAGGUUGGAUACGCGUUACUCACCCGUGCGCCGGUCGCCAUCAGAGUUUGCAAGCAAACUCCAUGCUGCCCCUCGACUUGCACGUGUUAGUAC